UACGUAGGGUGCAAGCGUUGUCCGGAAUUAUUGGGCGUAAAGAGCUCGUAGGCGGCUUGUCGCGUCGGCUGUGAAAACCUGGGGCUCAACCCCGGGCCUGCAGCCGAUACGGGCAAGCGUAGAAUUCGGUAGGGGAGACUGGAAUUCCUGGAUGUAGCGGUGAAAUGCGCAGAUAUCAGGAGGAACACCGGUGGCGAAGGCGGGUCUCUGGGCCGAAAUUGACGCUGAGGAGCGAAAGCGUGGGAGCAAACAGG
rnacentral:rRNA from 1 species